rnacentral:rRNA from 1 species
UACGUAGGGUGCAAGCGUUGUCCGGAAUUAUUGGGCGUAAAGAGCUCGUAGGCGGUUUGUCGCGUCGGGAGUGAAAACACUGGGCUUAACUCAGUGCUUGCUUCCGAUACGGGCAGACUAGAGGUAUUCAGGGGAGAACGGAAUUCCUGGUGUAGCGGUGAAAUGACGCAGAUAUCAGGAAGAACACCCGUGGCGAAGGCGGUUCUCUGGGACGGUACUGACGCUGAGACGCGAAAGCGUGGGGAGCGAACAGG